rnacentral:lncRNA from 1 species
UGGAAGGGCACACUUGCCGCCCCCAAAGAAAUCCUCCUCUAUUCAACCGAGAAACGAGGAGCGGGCAGAACUAUCGCUUCUUCUCUGUUUCGCUGAUGAGAUGGCAAGCUAGGGGCUGCACGGAUCCCUGUUCCUUGGGAAGAGGGGCUGCAUAGGGAGAUCACAGGUCGAUGAUCCCAGCCUUCCCGUUGCAGCCACCACCGCUAUCACCCAGCCCACCUCACCUUUGUUCCUCCUUAUGAGAAGGGGAAGAAGGAGAGUAGAGGGCUGCACGCAGGUGCCGCCCCCAAAGAAACCCUCUGUUCCACCGAGUAGAACAGGAGGAGAGCAGGGGAUGCAGAACCGCCGGCCCCAGCAGAGCACCGCUGACCACAAGAAGGGUGCGAUCGCAGCAGCCUUCCUCCGAUCUCUCCUCUGCUGUUUCGCAAAGAAGAAGAGUGUCAACCGCAAGAAGAAGAGAGCAGAUCCACUGGCCACAGAGAGGAUUGGUCGUCGAUCCGUCGCUACCUUCGCCGAUAAAUCCUCUCCCAACUAGUCGCCUGCUGCUUCUCCCGUAUUCUUGGGGAGGGGGAAGAAGGAGGAGAGCAGAUGGUGCGAUCUCUCCACCUUUGCCGGUGCCUCUUCUCUUCGAUUCUUUGAGAAGAGGAAGAAGGAGAGCAGAGGGGCUGCAGAGGGAAGGGUGCGAUCACAGCAGGUCGACGAUCACAGCCAUCCCGUUGCUAGCAGUCUGGAAGAGUCUCCGCCGCCGUCGCCCAGCAGUAGUGGUGAGAUCUCCUCGCUUCACCGAGCGCCGAUCUCGGUCCAGAGAAGGCGUGCCCUAUAGGGUGUUUGGGUGAGCAGAUCUCCGCUCUCUGCUCCUUUGUGGAGAGCAGAGGAUCUCCCAGGCCGCAGAAGGUUUUCGAUCCUGAACGGAGUUCUCUUCUCCCUUCACCGAUCGCCAACAGCCCAAUUUACCCCUCCUCUGUUCCCGCCGGCAGAGAGGCGAGAAGAGGAAGAAGAGGAAGGGCGAUGAGAGAUCUGUUCUCUUCUCCCUUUGUUCCUCGCUAUGAGAAGCGGAAGGAGGAGAGCAGCGGGCUGCACGCGGUCGCCCUGCUUCUUCCCUCAGCUCGCAGAAGGAGAGCAGUGUCGACAGCAAUGGCUCUUCUCCCUUCACUGAUCGCCAACAACCCACUUUCCCCCUCCUCUGUUCUCGUCGGCAGAGAGGCGAGAAGAGAGUGCAACACAAGGACUUCCGAGGCCCCCAUAUAUGUAUAUAUAUAUAUAUAUAUAUACAUAUACAUACUGUCUUCUGUACCUACGUAUAUUUCCUGUAUUAUUUGAAGUGCUUGUAGGCCGUGUCGUUUCCAAGAUUCCAUCGCUCUUCCAUUUUAAAUUGGAGCCGAAGGUUUCACGUGAAGGAAAGAAAAGAACGGUUCAGCCAACUGAACUCCAUGGUACAGUGAGUUUCUCCAUUUAUCAACACCAAAGCUUCAUUCUGCAAUGUCUUUUUGUUACUUUUCCGAAGUAUGUUGAUGUCAACUCUGAGGUUAGAGAAUUCUACUCUCUUUUGCAUCUAAAUUAAGAAUGAAAAUUUUGCUUCUUUGUGCA